rnacentral:rRNA from 1 species
GUAGUCCAUGCCAUAAACGAUGCAUACUAGGUGUAGGAGGGCUCAACCCCCUCUGUACCGGAGCUAACGCAUUAAGUAUGCCGCCUGGGGAGUACGCUCGCAAGGGUGAAACUCAAAAGAAUUGACGGGGGCCCGCACAAGCAGUGGAGCAUGUGGUUUAAUUCGAUGCAACGCGAAGAACCUUACCUGGGCUCGAAAUGUAGAGGACGACAACAGAGAUGUUGUUUCCCGAAAGGGUCUCUAUAUAGGUGCUGCAUGGCUGUCGUCAGCUCGUGCCGUGAGGUGUUUGGUUAAGUCCAGCAACGAGCGCAACCCUUAUCGUUAGUUGCCAGCGCGUAAUGGCGGGAACUCUAACGAGACUGCCUGGGUUAACCAGGAGGAAGGUGAGGAUGAUGUCAAGUCCGCAUGGCCUUUAUGUCCAGGGCAACACACGUGCUACAAUGGUCGGUACAGAAGGCAGCAAAACCGCAAGGUGAAGCAAAUCCCGAAAAGCCGAUCUCAGUUCAGAUUGUAGUCUGCAACUCGACUACAUGAAGUUGGAAUUGCUAGUAAUGGCGUGUCAGCUACAACGCCGUGAAUACGUUCCCGGGCCUUGUACACACCGCCCGUCACAUCAUGGGAGUUGGUUUUACCCGAAGUUGCUGACCUGACCUCGCAAGAGGGAGGAGGCACCUAAGGUAAGGCCGAUGACUGGGAUG